GAGAGUUUGAUCCUGGCUCAGGAUGAACGCUGGCGGCGUGCUUAACACAUGCAAGUCGAACGGGGGUCAUAUGACGGAAGUCUUCGGACGGAAGUGGUGUGACUCGAGUGGCGGACGGGUGAGUAACACGUGAGCAACCUGCCUUUUGCUGGGGAAUAACUGUGGGAAACCAUGGCUAAUACCGCAUAUUGUACCGACUGGGCAUCUGGUUGGUAUGAAAGGAGAAAUCCGGCAGAAGAUGGGCUCGCGUCCGAUUAGGUAGUUGGUGGGGUAACGGCUCACCAAGCCGACGAUCGGUAGCCGGACUGAGAGGUCGAACGGCCACAUUGGGACUGAGAUACGGCCCAGACUCCUACGGGAGGCAGCAGUGGGGAAUAUUGGGCAAUGGGGGAAACCCUGACCCAGCGACGCCGCGUGAAGGACGAAGGCUUUCGGGUUGUAAACUUCUUUGGGGAGGGACGAAAUUGACGGUACCUCCAGAACAAGCCACGGCUAA
rnacentral:rRNA from 1 species